rnacentral:rRNA from 1 species
UACGAAGGGGGCUAGCGUUGCUCGGAAUCACUGGGCGUAAAGGGUGCGUAGGCGGGUUUUAAGUCAGAGGUGAAAUCCUGGAGCUCAACUCCAGAACUGCCUUUGAUACUGGCGAUCUCGAGUCCGGGAGAGGUGAGUGGAACUGCGAGUGUAGAGGUGAAAUUCGUAGAUAUUCGCAAGAACACCAGUGGCGAAGGCGACUUCCUGGCCUGUUCUUGACGCUGAGGCGCGAAAGCUAGGGUAGCAAACGGG